UGAGAUAGAAACGAAACCCUUCCUCUUCUUCUCAAACUCUUUUUAACACAAAAUCCAUCUGAGUGCAAACUCAACUUCACUACAAACCCUUCUCUUACUGCAAACCGUUCUUCACCGGAAAUGUCUUUGUCAUACACUUCUCACCGCAUGACUCCAAAAUUGACUAAACCAACAAAUAAUUUCCUCCUAUGUAGAAUCCCUUCAUUUCACUUCCUCUUCAAAUUCUCACUACUUCCCCCGUUCCUCUCAUUUCCCGACACUCUCUUUCUCUCUCCCAUUCACUAUCUGUGACCAACUCUCUGAUUAGAGCAUCGUCGAUAUGCCCCUCUUCAUCUCGGACGAAGAGUUCUUACUGUUAUCCGGCGACACAAGCGCCAUAACCCUAAAAGCACGAAGGAAUUAAUAUCAACUAAAGAUGAUGAUGCAACCAACAAAGAGAAAUUUUCUGCUGAACUUUCAAUUGUUCAUCCUCGUCAAAUUGAUUCACACUCGCAUGUUGUUAAAGAAAGAUGAUGAAUGAGACUUUAUACAAAUACUCGAUAAAUAUGACUGGUCCAACAAUCCCAUGCAUCUCUUUUUUUUUCAUAAACAACUCUUAUAUAAAGAUUAGGAGUACUAGGGGUACUCCAACCCUAUACAAGAAAAAAAGGAGAACAGAUUAAAGUUACAAUCGUCAUGCACACAAUGGAGGGUUUUUAUACCACUCAUAGAAGUUACAAUUGAUACUUCCUUUUGAAGUUGAAACAAUCCACCACCAAGAAUGCCACUGUAUCUUGUAAAAUACCUCCUCAAGAUCAAACUUUGCAUUGUUGAAGAUUAUGUCAUUUCUCAUAUUCCAAAUACACCAGCAAAUUGUUAACCAUAAAGUUGCAGCCCUGUUACACUUCAGUUUGCCCUUCAAUUGUUCUAUCCAAUUCAUCAAAUUUCCGCAGCAAUCCAAUACGGUUUGCAUCUGAGUAUCAAUCCACAAUAGAAUUCUACUCUUCAAAGAAGCUAAUUUAGAACAGUGCAUGAACACAUGAUCUAAAUCUUCUACCUGCAAUUCACAAAACACACACACAGCUUGUUGUUGAUGAGCUAUAAUAUUUCUUCUUUGAAGUUGUCUCCGUGUUAGUAAUCUAUCUCUAACCAACCUCCAGCCGAAAAUCUGGAUUUUUGACGGCACCGCUGCUCCCCAUAUGAUACUCAAACACUCUUUCAUUCCAGUUGCUCCCAUAGAAUCCGGUUGUUGAUUUAACCUCGUAUAAUACGAUUCCACGGUGAAACAAUUAGAGUUGUCGUAAGGCCAAAUGAAAACAUCUUUGGCACAAUUGACAGGGCUGAUCCCAACCAAACAGGUUUUCAAUUCCCCAUAUUCACUUGAAGCCUCGCUCCCAAGAACUUCUGUACCUCUAAUCAGGAUCCAUUCCCACACUUCUCCAGUCCACUUUCCAUAGUUAUAGACAGAAUCUUCUUUAAAAACCACUUCAUUAUAUAGAGAAGAAAAUUGGCCAGCCAAAUUACCUAUCCCAAUCCAUUGGUUCUUCCAAAACAUAAUGUUUUUACGAUCUCCUAAUCUAGAUGUAAUUUUUCUCAUGAGUCCUUCAUCCUCAUCACACAACUCCAUAAUGUCCCUCCACUAUAAUGACUCCUUAUUUUUUGGAAUAGAGUUGUCACAGCCCCACAUUUUGUUUCUCACAUUCCCAUAUCUACCUUCCAACACACCUCUCCAUAUAGCAUCUUCCUCAGUCAAGAAUCUCCAAGGUCAUUUAGACAAUAAUGCCUUGUUAUAUCUUCCUACAUGUUUAAUCCCCAAGCCUCCUUCUUCUUUUGAUUUACAUACCUCCUUCCACCCUACCCAAGCAAUGGAUUUCUUGUCCCCGACUCCACUCCACAAAAAAUUUCGUUGUAUGGAGAUAAUCUCUUUCAUCACCUUUUUUGGAACUUUGUAAAAAGAGAAUUUCGCUGUUGAUCCCAUGCAUCUCAUAGAGUAUGUACUGUGUUUUGUGAGUUGCAUUCCAUGGUGUAGUUUCUUUCUGUUCAAUACGAUUAAGAUUUUGUUGAAAUGCUUGAGGUUUGGUAUAUGUUCGCUAUUUUGAAAGUGAUUGUUGUAUAUUGUUUCGAUAGUGGUUGUUCCCCCUUGAUAUGUUUUACUUGGAAUAACUAUUAUGUUGCAUAGGUGGUGUCAGAUUUGCUCCUUAAAACUGUGAGAAACAUGUCCUAGAAUUUGCUUGUUAAAACUGAGAGAAACCUUGUGUAAGUUAUGUUCCUUUAACAAGUGACUAUUGUGCUCCUUAGAAUUAAUUUAGUUAUGAAUUAAU